UACGGAGGGUGCAAGCGUUAUCCGGAUUCACUGGGUUUAAAGGGUGCGUAGGUGGGUUGGUAAGUCAGUGGUGAAAUCCCCGAGCUUAACUUGGGAACUGCCAUUGAUACUAUCAGUCUUGAAUAUUGUGGAGGUCAGCGGAAUGUGUCAUGUAGCGGUGAAAUGCUUAGAUAUGACAUAGAACACCAAUUGCGAAGGCAGCUGGCUACGCAUAUAUUGACACUGAGGCACGAAAGCGUGGGGAUCAAACAGG
rnacentral:rRNA from 1 species